GUAGGUGGCAAGCGUUGUCCGGAAUUAUUGGGCGUAAAGCGCGCGCAGGCGGUCCUCUAAGUCUGAUGUGAAAGCCCACGGCUCAACCGUGGAGGGUCACUGGAAACUGGGGGACUUGAGUACAGAAGAGGAAAGCGGAAUUCCAAGUGUAGCGGUGAAAUGCGUAGAGAUUUGGAGGAACACCAGUGGCGAAGGCGGCUUUCUGGUCUGUAACUGACGCUGAGGCGCGAAAGCGUGGGGAGCAAACAGGGAUUAGAUACCCUGGUAGUCCACGCCGUAAACGAUGAGUGCUAAGUGUUAGGGGGUUUCCGCCCCCUUAGUGCUGCAGCUAACGCAUUAAGCACUCCGCCUGGGGAUACGGCCGCAAGGCUG
rnacentral:rRNA from 1 species